rnacentral:lncRNA from 1 species
AAUGAAAGUAAGAGAGUAAAUAGAUGGUCGAUGAUGCAGAUGUACUUAGGGGCUGUUUGCUUAUAUGCAUUUCUAACUGCAGUGCAGCUGAAAAUAUAUGCAUCUAUUAAAUUUUUGUUUGGUUUGAUAUAGUUAGGCCUAACUACUGUAGUUGCAUCUGCACGAGAAGGCUCAACUGUAGCAAUUCGGCCGAAGUUGUCUCACCCUUUAAAAAAAUAAAUAAAGUGUUUAAAAAAUAAAUAAAGUGUUUUUUUUUUCAUAUGCUUUUUUUUAACUAUUUUUUUACUAAAAAUACCUAUUCAUGAAAUAUGCUGGGAUUUUAAUAAUGUAUGUUAGGGAUGAAUAAUCUUUUUUUAUAAACUUUUUUUUUUCAAGAAUACCCAUUCAUAAAAUUUGCUAGGUUUAAUAAUAUCUGUUAGGGUUCAAUAAUUUUUUUUCAUACGCUUCCUUUUUUUCAGUUUACUAAUUCAAUAAUAUUUUAAUUUUUGUUUUGACCAAAUUUAUAGUAUAUUUGUAUUUAAAAUUCAUUAAAUUAUAGAUAAUUUUAUAAUAUAUAAAUUAUAUAUAGAUAUAAAAGUUUUAAUCAAUAAUUAAAAGAUCUCAUGAUUAUGCUAUGUUUGGAAAAGGUAAUUUCAUCUUUUUAUCUAAAAAUUGGCAGAAUUUACAAAUAUAAAUUUCAACUACAGCCUACCAAAUAGAAGAAAUAUAAUCGCAGCAGUUGUAACUCCAUAUAACCAAACAGAAUAGGUAUAGUUAUGAUCGCAAUAUUUACAAUUGUAUGUACUUUCAAGUACACUAUUUUUAUAACUACAUCCAACCAAACGGCUUAGUGCAGGAAAUAAUAUCACUUAUUAGCAAGUUAUUUAUGUCGGCUUUGCA